rnacentral:ncRNA from 1 species
AUACUGCCAAACCUACUGUGAGGUAGGGACGGAAAGCCACGGGUCUUCUCUGAAAGAAGUAAGGAAAUGGGAAGAUAGCCGGGUUG